rnacentral:rRNA from 1 species
UCCUACGGGUGGCUGCAGGGAGGAAUAUUGGGCAAUGGACGAAAGUCUGACCCAGCAACGCCGCGUGAAGGAUGAAGGCCUUCGGGUCGUAAACUUCUUUUGAGGGAGACGAGAAAGGACGGUAUCCCUCGAAUAAGCCACGGCUAACUACGUGCCAGCAGCCGCGGUAAAACGUAGGUGGCGAGCGUUAUCCGGAUUCAUUGGGCGUAAAGCGCUUGUAGGUGGUGCGAUAAGUUGGACGUGAAAACUCCGGGCUUAACUUGGAGAGGCCGUUCAAUACUGUUGUGCUAGAGGGCGUCAGAGGGAAGUGGAAUUCCUGGUGUAGCAGUGAAAUGCGUAGAUAUCAGGAGGAACAUCCGUGGCGAAGGCGGCUUCCUGGGGCGCACCUGACACUGAGAAGCGAAAGCUAGGGGAGCAAACGGGAUUAGAUACCCUAGUAGUC